rnacentral:rRNA from 1 species
UACGUAGGCGGUUUAUUAAGUCAGAUGUGAAAGCCCCGGGCUUAACCUGGGAACUGCAUUUGAUACUGGUAGACUAGAGUAUGGUAGAGGGGGGUAGAAUUCCUAGUGUAGCGGUGAAAUGCGUAGAUAUUAGGAGGAAUACCAGUGGCGAAGGCGGCCCCCCUGGACCAAUACUGACGCUGAGGUACGAAAGCGUGGGUAGCGAACA